rnacentral:rRNA from 1 species
GAUCCUGGCUCAGGAUGAACGCUGGCGGCGUGCCUAACACAUGCAAGUCGAACGAGGUAAAUAAGAGGAAGUUUUCGGAUGGAAUCGUAUUUACCGAGUGGCGGACGGGUGAGUAACGCGUGGAUAACCUGCCUCAUACAGGGGGAUAACAGUUUAGAAAUGACUGCUAAUACCGCAUAAGCGCACAGUACCGCAUGGUACGGUGUGAAAAACUCCGGUGGUAUGAGAUGGAUCCGCGUCUGAUUAG